UCUCCGGCCGAUUUCUCCACCAUCCGACGUCGCCUCGUGUCGUGCCACCUAUCAAACUGACGGGCUCGACAAGCUCCAUCUUUUGGGCUACGCCUUGCACUCCAGCGACAACCACACACGGUGUAGCAACCGCCGGAAGUUACUGCUGUGGCGGCGCCGCCUCCUCCGGCCACCAUGGCUCGAGAUUCUUGGGGGGUUUUGCUUGUCUCAGUCCCAGCAACAUUCCCACAAAAGGAAUCGAGCCAAAUCGAAGUGUGACUGACGAAACGAGUGAGGAAAUUACUUUCAGGGUCGUGGAAGUUGCACGCAGGAAAGAAUUGGAUAACUCCGCAGGUGUGGAUUAGCGGGAAUUGACGGACCGCUCAGAGGACUUGAAGUUAUUUAUCUCCAGCUUGUGUGAGGAUUUUGUGUGACUAUGUUGUGAGUUUGUAGUGAGGAUUUCGCAAUUCCAUUUGUUAUAAUAUUGAAUUAUAAUUUGGG